UACGAAGGGUGCUAGCGUUGUUCGGAAUUACUGGGCGUAAAGCGCGCGUAGGCGGUUUGUCAAGUCAGACGUGAAAUCCCCAGGCUCAACCUGGGAACUGCGUCUGAUACUGGAUGGCUUGAGUUCGGGAGAGGGAUGUAGAAUUCCAGGUGUAGCGGUGAAAUGCGUAGAUAUCUGGAGGAAUACCGGUGGCGAAGGCGGCAUCCUGGACCGACAUUGACGCUGAUGAGCGAAAGCGAGGGGAGCAAACGGG
rnacentral:rRNA from 1 species